CUCUGGGGCCCCAGCGCUUUGCCUUCAACCAGCCGGUACUUUUAGUGGAGAAACUGAGACCCUACCGUGGAGGGAUCUUGGCGCAGAUUCACUCAGACCCCCAGGAGUCUUACUAUAUCGCUCAUGCUGUUCUCCACCUCCCGGGAUCAAACCGCCCACAUCAGCUUCCAGAAUCAAAGGGAAGAUAGAUGUGUGUGUGCUACCCGCCUGGCAAGCCCUAAAGUUGAGAUGUGGAAACGUGGGUGCACUGAAUGUCUGUUCUACUGAGUGUUCUAAGAGUGUUGUCCUUCUGACCUUGGGAUGAAUCGCUUCCCUUUUUGGGCCUGUUUGUUCAAGUUAAUGUGAAAUAAUUCCCUUUAACGUUAGUUAUCUUUCCUGCUUUUGUUCUGUGUGUGUGUGUGUGUGGGGGGGGGUAGGGUUGUUUGUUGGUUGGUUCUGAGUUAGGUCUCACCACCGCACUCCAGCCUGCCUACUUUUGAAGUUUACUUUUUCUCCUGAGCACACAGACACUCACUCAGGUGUGGCAGUCAGAGGACAGCUUGCAGGAGUUGGUUCUCUCUUCCCAUCAUGUGUGUCCUGUCCUGGGGAUUGGAAUGAGGAGGCUUGACAGCAAGCACCUUCAUCCACUGAGCCAUCUUGCCAACCCUGAAGUGUACUUUUAAAAAAAUAGGCGGCAGAGACAGGCAACUCUUUGAGUUUGAGGCCAGUCUCAUUUACACAGUGAGUGGGACAGAGCUACAACGUGACUUUUAUUUAUUUAUUUAUUUUAAAUUAUUUUCGGGCUGGAGAGAUGGCUUAUCAGUUAAGAGAAGAAAGCAUACUCACAUAUAUAA
rnacentral:lncRNA from 1 species